UGCAGCAGAAGACCCUAGAUUUGGGAGA
rnacentral:piRNA from 1 species